rnacentral:lncRNA from 1 species
UUUUUUUUUUUUUUUUUUUUUUUUUGAGACAGAGUCUUGCUCUGUCGCCCGGGCUGGAGUGCUGGAGUGCAGUGGCACGAUCUUGGCUCACUGCAAGCUCCGCCUCCCGGGUUCACGCCAUUCUCCUGCCUCAGCCUCCUGAGUAGCUGGGACCACAGGCACCCACCACUACGCCCGGCUAAUUUUUUGUGUUUUUUAGUAGAGACGUGGUUUUACUGUGUUAGCCAGGAUGGUCUCGAUCUCCUGAUCUCAUGAUCCACCCGCCUCGGCCUCCCAAAGUGCUGGGAUUACAGGCGUGAGCCACCACGCCUGGCCAAGGACAUUUUUAAAAAGAUCGUCCGAAUAGAAAUAAGCUGCCUCCUGUUGAUGCCCCUUAUGUCAAGGGAAUCACUGGAAGGCCCACUGCUCCAGGGGAUGAAGGUCCUCUGAGUCAGAAGCCACUAACCAGAUGGAUCCAGCAGCAGGACUGAGGGUGCCCAGGGCAAGUGCCAGCCCAUGCCGUCACCGUCACAGAGCCCCAUGCUUGACCAUUGAGGGCCAGGAGGUUAACUGUCUCCUGGACACUGGCACGACCUUCUCAGUCUCACUCUCCUGUCCCGGACAACUGUCCUCCAGGUGUAUCACUAUCCAAGGGGUCCUAGGACAGCCAGUCACUAGAUACUUCUCCCAGUCACUAAGCUGCGACUGGGGAACUUUACCCUUUUCACAUGCUUUUCUAAUUAUGCCUGAAAGCCCCACUCCCUUGUUAGGGAGAGACAUUCUAGCAAAAGCAGGGGCCACUAUACACUAGAAUUAGAAGGAAAAAGGAUAAAUGUAUAUACAGACUCAAAGUAUGCUUACCUAGUCCUCCAUGCCCAUGCAACAAUACAGAGAGAAAGGGAAUUCCUAACUUCCGAGGGAACACCUAUCAAACAUCAGGAAGCCAUCAGGAGAUUAUUAUUGGCUAUACAGAAACCUAAAGAGGUGGCAGUCUUACACUGCCGGGUCAUCAGAAAAGAAAGGAAAGAAGAAAUAGAAGGGAAUCGCCAAUCAGAUAUUGAAGCCAAAAGAGCCGCAAGGCAGGACCCUCCAUUAGAAAUGCUUAUAGAAGAACCCCUAGUAUGGGGUAAUCCCCUCCGGGAAACAAGCCCCAGUACUCAGCAGGAGAAAUAGAAUGGGGAACCUCACGAGGACAUAGUUUCCUCCCCUCAGAAUGGCUAGCCACCAGAGAAGGAAAAAUACUUUUGCCUGCAGCUAACCAAUGGAAAUUACUUAAAACCCUUCACCAAACCUUUCACUUAGGUAUUGAUAGCACCCAUCAGAUUGCCAAAUUAUUAUUUACUGGACCAGAGUUUUUCAAAACUAUCAAGCAGAUUGUCAGGGCCUGUGAAGUGUGCCAAAGAAAUAAUCCCCUGCACUACAGGCCAUACAUUUCAAUCCCUGUAUCUUUAACCUCCUUGUUAAGUUUGUUUCUUCCAGAAUCGAAGCUGUAAAACUACAAAUGGUUCUUCAAAUGGAGCCUCCGAUGCAGUCCAUGACUAAGAUCUACUGCGGACCCCUGGACCAGCCUGCUAAUCCAUGCUCUGAUGU